AUUGAACGCUGGCGGCAGGCCUAACACAUGCAAGUCGAGCGGAUGAAGGGAGCUUGCUCCUGGAUUCAGCGGCGGACGGGUGAGUAAUGCCUAGGAAUCUGCCUGGUAGUGGGGGAUAACGUCCGGAAACGGGCGCUAAUACCGCAUACGUCCUGAGGGAGAAAGUGGGGGAUCUUCGGACCUCACGCUGUCAGAUGAGCCUAGGUCGGAUUAGCUAGUUGGUGGGGUAAAGGCCUACCAAGGCGACGAUCCGUAACUGGUCUGAGAGGAUGAUCAGUCACACUGGAACUGAGACACGGUCCAGACUCCCACGGGAGGCAGCAGUGGGGAAUAUUGGACAAUGGGCGAAAGCCUGAUCCAGCCAUGCCGCGUGUGUGAAGAAGGUCUUCGGAUUGUAAAGCACUUUAAGUUGGGAGGAAGGGCAGUAAGUUAAUACCUUGCUGUUUUGACGUUACCAACAGAAUAAGCACCGGCUAACUUCGUG
rnacentral:rRNA from 1 species